AAAGUCGGGGCCUAAGGCGAGGGCGAGAGCCGUAGUCGAUGGAUAACAGGUUGAAAUUCCUGUACUGCUUAUGGACAGAACUGUGGGGACGCAGAAGGAGAGCACGAGCCGGAAAUGGAAAAGCCGGUACAAGCGUAUAGCAGUCAUGCAGGCAAAACCGCAUGAAAAAUGUAAAGCGUUAUGUGGAUCGAACAUUAGUAGAGAAGCGUGUGAGCCAGCUGCCAAGAAAAGCCGCUAUUGUUUCAUAAGUACCCGUACCGUAAACCGACACAGGUGGAUGAGGAGAGAAUCCUAAGGCCGGCGGGAGAAGUGUUGUUAAGGAACUCGGCAAAAUGACUCCGUAACUUCGGGAGAAGGAGUGCCACAGGGAUGUGGCCGCAGAGAAAUGGCCCAAGCAACUGUUUAGCAAAAACACAGGUCUAUGCAAAACCGAAAGGUGAGGUAUAUGGGCUGACGCCUGCCCGGUGCUGGAAGGUUAAGAGGAGAGGUUAGAGCAAUCGAAGCUUUGAAUUUAAGCCCCAGUAAACGGCGGCCGUAACUAUAACGGUCCUAAGGUAGCGAAAUUCCUUGUCGGGUAAGUUCCGACCCGCACGAAAGGCGUAAUGAUUUGGGCACUGUCUCAACAACACACCCGGUGAAAUUGAAAUACCAGUGAAGAUGCUGGUUACCUGCGCCAGGACGGAAAGACCCCAUGGAGCUUUACUCCAGUUUGAUACUGGGAUUCGGUACUGUCUGUACAGGAUAGGUGGGAGGCUAGGAAAUGGUGACGCCAGUUGCCAUGGAGCCAACCUUGGGAUACCACCCUUACAGUACUGGGUUUCUAACCUGCAGCCGUAACCCGGCUGGGGGACAAUGUCUGACGGGGAGUUUGACUGGGGCGGUCGCCUCCGAAAGAGUAUCGGAGGCGCUCAAAGGUUCCCUCAGAACGGUUGGAAACCGUUCGAAGAGUGCAAAGGCAGAAGGGAGCUUGACUGCGACACCGACGGGUGGAGCAGAUACGAAAGUAGGACUUAGUGAUCCGGUGGUAUAAAGUGGGAUUGCCAUCGCUCAACGGAUAAAAGCUACCCUGGGAUAACAGGCUUAUCACUCCCAAGAGUUCACAUCGACGGAGUGGUUUGGCACCUCGAUGUCGGCUCAUCGCAUCCUGGAGCUGUAGCAGGUUCCAAGGGUUGGGCUGUUCGCCCAUUAAAGCGGUACGCGAGCUGGGUUCAGAACGUCGUGAGACAGUUCGGUCCCUAUCCGGCGUGGGCGUAGGAUAUUUGAGAGGAGCUGUCCUUAGUACGAGAGGACCGGGAUGGACAAACCUCUGGUGUAUCUGUUGUUUUACCAAAGGCAUGGCAGAGUAGCCAAGUUUGGCAGGGAUAAACGCUGAAGGCAUCUAAGCGUGAAGCCCCCCUCAAGAUAAGAUAUCCCAUCUUCGGAGUAAGACCCCUUGAAGACUACAAGGUUGAUAGGCUUCAGGUGUAAGUGUGGUAACGCACUCAGCUGAGAAGUACUAAUAGGUCGAGGACUUAUU
rnacentral:rRNA from 1 species